rnacentral:rRNA from 1 species
CCUACGGGAGGCAGCAGUGAGGAAUAUUGGUCAAUGGGCGCGAGCCUGAACCAGCCAAGUCGCGUGAGGGAAGACGGUCCUAUGGAUUGUAAACCUCUUUUGUCGGGGAGCAAAAGACGCCACGCGUGGCGUUCCGAGAGUACCCGAAGAAAAAGCAUCGGCUAACUCCGUGCCAGCCGCCGCGGUAAUACGGAGGAUGCGAGCGUUAUCCGGAUUUAUUGGGUUUAAAGGGUGCGCAGGCGGAAGAUCAAGUCAGCGGUAAAAUUGAGAGGCUCAACCUCUUCGAGCCGUUGAAACUGGUUUUCUUGAGUGAGUGAGAAGUAUGCGGAAUGCGUGGUGUAGCGGUGAAAUGCAUAGAUAUCACGCAGAACUCCGAUUGCGAAGGCAGCAUACCGGCGCUCAACUGACGCUCAUGCACGAAAGUGUGGGUAUCGAACAGGAUUAGAUACCCGGGUAGUC